rnacentral:rRNA from 1 species
UCCCAGACUCCUACGGGAGGCAGCAGUGAGGAAUAUUGGUCAAUGGGCUUACGCCUGAACCAGCCAAGUCGCGUGAGGGAAGACUGCCCUAUGGGUUGUAAACCUCUUUUGUCAGGGAGCAACGCCGGCUACGUGUAGCCGGACUGAGAGUACCUGAAGAAAAAGCAUCGGCUAACUCCGUGCCAGCAGCCGCGGUAAUACGUAGGUGGCAAGCGUUGUCCGGAUUUACUGGGUGUAAAGGGCGUGUAGCCGGGCUGACAAGUCAGAUGUGAAAUCCGGGGGCUCAACCCCCGAACUGCAUUUGAAACUGUUGGUCUUGAGUAUCGGAGAGGCAGGCGGAAUUCCUAGUGUAGCGGUGAAAUGCGUAGAUAUUAGGAGGAGCACCAGUGGCGAAGGCGGCCUGCUGGACGACAACUGACGGUGAGGCGCGAAAGCGUGGGGAGCAAACAGGAUUAGAUACCCUAGUAA